GACGAACGCUGGCGGCGUGCUUAACACAUGCAAGUCGAACGAAGAGCGAUGGAAGCUUGCUUCUAUCAAUCUUAGUGGCGAACGGGUGAGUAACGCGUAAUCAACCUGCCCUUCAGAGGGGGACAACAGUUGGAAACGACUGCUAAUACCGCAUACGAUCUAAACUCGGCAUCGAGGAUAGAUGAAAGGUGGCCUCUACAUGUAAGCCAUCACUGAAGGAGGGGAUUGCGUCUGAUUAGCUAGUUGGAGGGGUAACGGCCCACCAAGGCGAUGAUCAGUAGCCGGUCUGAGAGGAUGAACGGCCACAUUGGGACUGAGACACGGCCCAGACUCCUACGGGAGGCAGCAGUGGGGAAUCUUCCGCAAUGGACGAAAGUCUGACGGAGCAACGCCGCGUGAGUGAUGACGGCCUUCGGGUUGUAAAGCUCUGUUAAUCGGGACGAAAGGCCUUCUUGCGAAUAGUGAGAAGGAUUGACGGUACCGGAAUAGAAAGCCACGGCUAA
rnacentral:rRNA from 1 species